AAAAAAACUCUUUUCACGAUCUUUUGGUGUGGGAUAUGAAGUUGACUUUUCCUUAUGAAUUGAAAUUUUCUGAGCCCAACUGGAGCGCUUAUAUAUCAAAUCUGAAGCCUUUGGGGUUAAAUAUUAUCUUAAACGCUGAACACUUUUCUUCUUCUAUAGCAC